rnacentral:rRNA from 1 species
AGGGAAUCUUCCACAAUGGACGCAAGUCUGAUGGAGCAACGCCGCGUGAGUGAAGAAGGUUUUCGGACCGUAAAGCUCUGUUGUUGGUGAAGAAGGAUAGAGGUAGUAACUGGCCUUUAUUUGACGGUAAUCAACCAGAAAGUCACGGCUAACUACGUGCCAGCAGCCGCGGUAAUACGUAGGUGGCAAGCGUUGUCCGGAUUUAUUGGGCGUAAAGCGAGCGCAGGCGGAAGAAUAAGUCUGAUGUGAAAGCCCUCGGCUUAACCGAGGAAUUGCAUCGGAAACUGUUUUCUUGAGUGCAGAAGAGGAGAGUAGAACUCCAUGUGUAGCGGUGGAAUGCGUAGAUAUAUGGAAGAAUACCAGUGGCGAAGGCGGCUCUCUGGUCUGCAACUGACGCUGAGGCUCGAAAGCAUGGGUAGCGAACAGGAUUAGAUACCCUGGUAGUCCAUGCCGUAAACGAUGAGUGCUAAGUGUUGGGAGGCUUCCGCCUCUCAGUGCUGCAGCUAACGCAUUAAGCACUCCGCCUGGGGGAGUACGACCGC